rnacentral:rRNA from 1 species
AGCAGUAUUGAACUGAAGAGUUUGAUCAUGGCUCAGAUUGAACGCUGGCGGCAGGCCUAACACAUGCAAGUCGAGCGGAUGAAGGGAGCUUGCUCCUGGAUUCAGCGGCGGACGGGUGAGUAAUGCCUAGGAAUCUGCCUGGUAGUGGGGGAUAACGUCCGGAAACGGGCGCUAAUACCGCAUACGUCCUGAGG